rnacentral:lncRNA from 1 species
CAUGAUGUCGAUGCAAAUGAACAGGACAAGAAGAUUCAGCAGCUCCUAGUUGGGCCUCAUGGCUAAAACAACUCUUUCAGAAACAAAACAAAAGCUUGGUCAAGAAGUCAUGAGAAGUAGCAGCAGUGAAACAAGGCGUUAAUUGAAGAUGUUUAGCUAUGUUUAUAUAGGCAGAACUCUGACAUACAUGAACACACUUAGAAAUCAUAGAGUCAGUUCAGAUUGGGGGUCUUUAGCCAAAAGAGGGUCCUUCAGUCUGUCGGGGUUUAGGACUUUUACUUCGGUCUUUAAUAAAUAGAUAGGUGGCCUUGGAGCUGGGCACUGUCACAGACACUAUCAAUAUAGUGGUAAACAACCAAUCAAGUUUCCAUCCGCACGAAAUUUACCUUGUAAUAAGAGAAACAUAAUAACUAUAAAUAAAUAGGAAAUACAAUGUCAGGUAAUGAGAGUGCUAU